rnacentral:lncRNA from 1 species
CAGCAGUGUGCAAACAGUAUAGGAACUGUGUAAAACCUGAGGACAAAACCGAGAACAGGGAACUUCACCAACAGACCAUAACAAAAAUUAGAAAUCGAUCUAACGUUGCAGUCAAAAUUCCCAGUAAUUUAUUGAAUUGACUGAAU